rnacentral:rRNA from 1 species
GCAACGGAUAUYUCGGCUCUCGCAUCGAUGAAGAACGUAGCAAAAUGCGAUACUUGGUGUGAAUUGCAGAAUCCCGCGAAUCAUCGAGUCUUUGAACGCAAGUUGCGCCCGAAGCCUUUAGGCCGAGGGCMCGUCUGCCUGGGCGUCAUGCMCUGCG